AUUGAACGCUGGCGGCAGGCCUAACACAUGCAAGUCGAACGGUAGCACAGAGAGCUUGCUCUCGGGUGACGAGUGGCGGACGGGUGAGUAACGCCUGGGAAACUGCCCGAUGGAGGGGGAUAACUACUGGAAACGGUAGCUAAUACCGCAUAACGUCGCAAGACCAAAGUGGGGGACCUUCGGGCCUCACACCAUCGGAUGAACCCAGAUGGGAUUAGCUAGUAGGCGGGGUAAUGGCCCACCUAGGCGACGAUCCCUAGCUGGUCUGAGAGGAUGACCAGCCACACUGGAACUGAGACACGGUCCAGACUCCUACGGGAGGCAGCAGUGGGGAAUAUUGCACAAUGGGCGCAAGCCUGAUGCAGCCAUGCCGCGUGUAUGAAAAAGGCCUUCGGGUUGUAAAGUACUUUCAGCGGGGAGGAAGGCGACGCGGUUAAUAACCGCGUCGAUUGACGUUACCCGCAGAAGAAGCACCGGCUAACUCCGUGCCAGCCGCCGCCGUAA
rnacentral:rRNA from 1 species